rnacentral:lncRNA from 1 species
UAUUAUAGAAACACUCUGGGGCUUCUAGGAGCUGCUCUUCUACAAAUAGUGUUCACUGAGACUAUUAAACUGAGACUUGAUUCCGCAACCCUUAUCCCCAAUGAAUACUACUAUGCUUGGCCCUUGGAAAGAAAAUAUUCUGGAGUUACAAAUCGUUCCCAAGAAGUCCUUUCCCUGUGUGGAAAACUAUUGUAUGCACCUUGUGAUGGGUGCGGCCCUUGGGACAAAAGAAGAACUAACUUGGCACUUCAUUCAGAACUCAAAAGUGGAACAGAACUUUUUUCUGAGGAUUAUAAAAAGCCUGAAUACUACAAAUCUUCACUGUUUUUCAAUGCUGCUUGCCUCAUACUUUGGGUUUUUGAUUGGAACAGGAAGAGAAAAAUCCAAAAUAAUGAAUGAGUCUGUUUUCAGAGUAUCUCCAAGUUCUUAUGAGCAUUCAAGUUAGAUUGCACCUCACAAUGAAGCUUCUGACCUUUGUUAUUUGAAUAUUCUAAUAACACUAAGAGGCCUCAACUGAGAUCAGGGUUCCAUUGUGAAAAGUGCUAAGCAAACUCAGAAUAAGACAGUCCCUGCCCCAAAGACAACAAAUAAUUCUCUAACUGUCACUGCUGGAGAACUUAGAGAGACUAAGAUUUACCCAACAUUGCAUAAGGAGUCUGUGGAAGAGCCAAGAAUUGAACCCAGCCCUUCAAAAUCCCAGUCUAGUGCCUUGAGCACAAGAUCAACUUUCCUCCUAAAGAAGAAAGUGAGAUUUACUCCAGCACUAUAUCGAACACGAAAUGCAAACUGAAAGCCAAAAAAAAGAGCAACCUUGUGCUGUUUUAGAUAUAACUGGGCCCAACUUUUUCUACAGUGUAGUUAGAGACCUACAAGAUUUCCAGUUCAUUGUGGAGAAUCAUAUGAGGGUUUUUUUGUUUUGUUUUUGCCUGUAAAAGUCCUUGGCUUUGGUCUGAAGUUUAUACACUGUGCAAUUCACGUCACAAAAAAAGCCACCAAAAUGACUAGCAAUCGCUGCUUCUUGUCGGCUGACUUAGCAGAAAAUCAAAAACUUGAAUGGACUGUGAAGACUGAAGUACCUAUGAGGAUGGUCUAUUCUGGUCAGCUUUGAACUACGUUGUACCUGUUCUGUAGAUAAACAGAGGACUUUAGUUUCUAGGGUUGUUAGUUCAGUACCUUUCAUCGGCACUAUGAACAUAAGAAAAUAACUCGCACUCUGUACAUGCAGGACAUUUCUCACGUGCAUCCAAAAUCCAAUACUCGUCAUGAAUCAGCUGUCACUCCUGGAUCAGACUCCCCUUUGUGAUAAAAACUGGGGGGCCUGGUUCUCUAUAGCCCUGCACCUUGUGUAGUCAUGUGUACAGGGCAAAGUGAGUCGAAUGUGCUACCACACUGAAGUCAUAGCAUUUUACACCUACUUUGCGCUGGUGUUAAUAGCUAUAUAAAGU